CCUACGGGUGACAGCAGUGGGGAAUAUUGGGUAAUGGGCGCAAGCCUGACCCAGCAACGCCGCGUGAAGGAAGACGGCCCUCGGGUUGUAAACUUCUUUUGUUAGGGACGAAGAAAGUGACGGUACCUGACGAAUAAGCCAAGGCUAACUACGUGCCAGCAGCCGCGGUGAUACGUAGGCCGCAAGCGUUAUGCGGAUUUACUGGGUGUAAAGGGCGUGUAGGCGGGACUGCAAGUCAGAUGUGAAAUUCCAGGGCUCAACCCUGGAACUGCAUUUGAAACUGUAGGUCUUGAGUGAAGGUGAGGUAGGCGGAAUUCAGGGUGUAGCGGUGAAAUGCGUAGAGAUACGAAAGAACACCUAUGGCGAAGGCAGCCUACUAAACAUUGACUGACGUUGAGGCGCGAAAGCGUGGGGAGCAAACAGGAUUAGAUACCCUAGUAGUC
rnacentral:rRNA from 1 species